rnacentral:rRNA from 1 species
AGCGAACGCUGGCGGCAUGCUUAACACAUGCAAGUCGAGCGGGCCCUUCGGGGUCAGCGGCAGACGGGUGAGUAACACGUGGGAACGUACCCUUUGGUUAGGAAUAACUCAGGGAAACUAGCCCUAAUACCGGAUACGCUCUUUUGGGGAAAGGCUUGCUGCCGAAGGAUCGGCGCGCGUCUGAUUAGCUGGUUGGUGGGGUACUGGCCUACCAAGGCGACGAUCAGUAGCUGGUCUGAGAGGAGGACCAGUCACACUGGGACUGAGACACGGACCAGCCUCCGACGGGAGGCAGCAGUGGGGAGUAUUGGACGAUGGGCGCAAGCCUGAUACAGCCAUGCCGGGUAAGUGAGGAAGGCCGUAGGGUUGUAAAGCUCUUUUGUCCGGGACGAUAAUGACGGUACCGGAAGAAUAAGCCCCGGCUAACUUCGUG